CAGGACGUAGCUCAAUUGGUAGAGCAACUAUUGUAUAUCAAGGUGUAUAUUGUGGGUUCGAGUCCCAUCGUCCUGU
rnacentral:tRNA from 1 species